CUUGGUCAUUUAGAGGAAGUAAAAGUCGUAACAAGGUCUCCGUUGGUGAACCACCGGAGGG
rnacentral:rRNA from 1 species